rnacentral:rRNA from 1 species
GACGAACGCUGGCGGCGUGCCUAAUACAUGCAAGUAGAACGCUGAAGGAGGAGCUUGCUUCUCUGGAUGAGUUGCGAACGGGUGAGUAACGCGUAGGUAACCUGCCUGGUAGCGGGGGAUAACUAUUGGAAACGAUAGCUAAUACCGCAUAAUAGCAGUUGUUGCAUGACAACUGUUUGAAAGGUGCAAUUGCAUCACUACCAGAUGGACCUGCGUUGUAUUAGCUAGUUGGUGGGGUAAGGGCUCACCAAGGCGACGAUACAUAGCCGACCUGAGAGGGUGAUCGGCCACACUGGGACUGAGACACGGCCCAGACUCCUACGGGAGGCAGCAGUAGGGAAUCUUCGGCAAUGGACGGAAGUCUGACCGAGCAACGCCGCGUGAGUGAAGAAGGUUUUCGGAUCGUAAAGCUCUGUUGUAAGAGAAGAACGAGUGUGAGAGUGGAAAGUUCACACUGUGACGUAUCUACCAGAAAGGACG